rnacentral:rRNA from 1 species
AUUGAACGCUGGCGGCAGGCCUAACACAUGCAAGUCGAACGGUAACAGAAAGCAGCUUGCUGCUUUGCUGACGAGUGGCGGACGGGUGAGUAAUGUCUGGGAAACUGCCUGAUGGAGGGGGAUAACUACUGGAAACGGUAGCUAAUACCGCAUAACGUCGCAAGACCAAAGAGGGGGACCUUAGGGCCUCUUGCCAUCGGAUGUGCCCAGAUGGGAUUAGCUAGUAGGUGGGGUAACGGCUCACCUAGGCGACGAUCCCUAGCUGGUCUGAGAGGAUGACCAGCCACACUGGAACUGAGACACGGUCCAGACUCCUACGGGAGGCAGCAGUGGGGAAUAUUGCACAAUGGGCGCAAGCCUGAUGCAGCCAUGCCGCGUGUAUGAAGAAGGCCUUCGGGUUGUAAAGUACUUUCAGCGGGGAGGAAGGGAGUAAAGUUAAUACCUUUGCUCAUUGACGUUACCCGCAGAAGAAGCACCGGCUAACUCCGUGCCAGCAGCCGCGGUAAUACGGAGGGUGCAAGCGUUAAUCGGAAUUACUGGGCGUAAAGCGCACGCAGGCGGUUUGUUAAGUCAGAUGUGAAAUCCCCGGGCUCAACCUGGGAACUGCAUCUGAUACUGGCAGGCUUGAGUCUCGUAGAGGGGGGUAGAAUUCCAGGUGUAGCGGUGAAAUGCGUAGAGAUCUGGAGGAAUACCGGUGGCGAAG